UUUGAUCGGAGGCAGGGGGUGGUCUCCAAUCAAACAGAGAAAAGGUCCUGGAGAAGUUUUCUUAUCUGGAGUCAAAGCUUCAUGACAAUUUCAAAGAAAGGAAAAUAAAGAACGAUCUUCUGGCAGAUAGUGGCAAUGCUCCUGUCAUGAUCCAUCUUAUGUCAGACUGCAACCCAAUAUUGAGUCCCGUACCACCUGUUGAAUAUUAUUGCUCUACACCAACUGGCAGCAUCUCUCUCCAACACGUGACUCCACCACUACAUUGCAGCAGUAAUAUGGUACAAACACAUUAAGGUACAAAGCCUGGAGUAACGGAAUGGGUUGUUUGGUGCCGAGGCUUGAGAUCACCCUCUUCCGUGCCUCUCCAGGAAUACUCACUAGUC